UAAGUUUAUUAUAAUAAAAAUGAAAAAAAUAUAUAAAAAAUCUGUUCUUAUUAGUUUAAUAUCUGAUACGUCCCCUAUCUGGGGACCAUAUAUUAAAUUGAUUUUUCGAACAGGGAGAUGGAAAAAGAGCUUGCUCUGUCCACUCUACGCAUUGACCUGGUAUUGCAGUACCUCCAGGACCGGUGCACCCUUU